UACGUAGGGGGCUAGCGUUGUCCGGAAUCAUUGGGCGUAAAGAGCGUGUAGGCGGCCCGGUAAGUCCGCUGUAAAAGUCACAGGCUCAACCUUUGAAUGUCAGUGGAUACUGCCGGGCUAGAGUCCGGAAGAGGCGAGUGGAACUCCUGGUGUAGCGGUGGAAUGCGCAGAUAUCAGGAAGAACACCAACGGCGAAGGCAGCUCGCUGGGACGGAACUGACGCUAAGGCGCGAAAGCGUGGGGAGCGAACAGG
rnacentral:rRNA from 1 species